rnacentral:lncRNA from 10 species
GCGAAGACUUUGGCAGAGCGCACAGCAGGCCAGGAGAGGCUGGCGCCCCUUCUCCCAAGAAUACUGUCAGAUGCUGAUCCUGACACCACCUGGAAUUCCUUCUCCCGGACCUUCCUUCGUGUCCUCUGGGCCCGGGCCCAGUUGUCCCCACUCAGUGUGGCCCUGUUCUUCGCCUGCCUUCGCGACAGUGCGGUGGGACCGCCGUCGGCCCGGGCCUCCCCUGCCACCCAGCGGCCACCUCGGGCACAGGAGAGGGGCAUAGCGGCUUCAAGUAGGGGUAGCCCGGAGGCCCGGAGCUUUGGAGGAGCACCCUUUGAGUCCAGAAACUUUUUAACUUGUCCUCUAUGCCAGCAUGUUCAGCAAACGUCUUGUUGUUAUUGUUGUCGUUGUUGUUGUUGUAAGGGGAGGAAUAAACCUUCCACUUAUCCGCCUCCAA